AGGAGCUUGGACGUUAUAUUUCAACAAGAAUCAUGCCUUUUACCUGACUCUUCGAUUUAAUGCCAAACUUUGCUCCGUUAAUCAAUCUUUGGAACGCUUUUGAAGCAA
rnacentral:snRNA from 1 species